GUCGAAUUUCCCCCUGGGGACAUACACCACGGCAAUUUCUAAGUCACUUGAGUAAAGGGCACAAAUCAGGGAUAAACCCUGGACAGGGCGCCGGCCUGGGGACAACUGAAGCUCUGAUUAAUGCAAUAACAGCAAUUCUGUCACCUGUACUCUAGCACCCCUACUAGAAGUCUUCUCUCCUAUUACUGAGGAAUCUAAUUUUAUUUUACCUUUUUAACCAGGUACCUGUGUCGACUACAUCUGAUGAAAAACUAACUCACACUAGACGGGCAAAGGACCAUCACAGAACUUUGCAAGCCUUGUGGCAAAUCUGUUUAUUGCUGCCAUGAAAGGAUACCCCUAACCAACAAAGAGGUUCAGCACCAAGAAACCACCAGCCUAUUUAAAAGAAGAGGAAGAACAACAUCCACCACCACCAC